UCGUUGCCUUUCCCAAAACACGACCGUCGAACACGUGAUAGAAUGCUGCCGUGGAGACGCUUGACGCCUCCUCGGCCCCACCGGCCACUUCCCUCUCGCCUUCCGGGCGCGUUGGUUGCUGGUCGGAAUACGGCGCGGGAUGACGCCAAGGAACACGAGAAAGCUAAGGCGCCGUCGAGCCGCGAAAGGGCUUCGUCGGGUUGCCAAGGCCAAUAAAAAAAAUUAUGACUCUCGGCAACGGAUAUCUCGGCUCUCGCAUCGAUGAAGAACGUAGCGAAAUGCGAUACGUGGUGUGAAUUGCAGAAUCCCGUGAACCAUCGAGUCUUUGAACGCAAGUUGCGCCCGAGGGACCCUCCCGAGGGCACGCCUGCCUCAUGGGCGUUAGAAGCCCAUCCACGCUCGUUUGCCUCACUAACGGCAAAAGAUGCGGACAUUGGCCCUCCGAACCGUAAGGCGCGGUGGGCCUAAGUGUGCGGCCGUCGCACGUGGCCGGGAGCGGCGAGUGGUGGGCUACUGCGCACGUCACCCCGAGCCUCGUACCGACGCAGGGCCUUCUUUGAACCCCUAACGAGGAGCAUGCCGCUGCGGCUUCUGCUGCGCGGCGCCUUCGGACC
rnacentral:rRNA from 1 species